AAAGGACAAGAUACAAGAGCACCACCAGAAGAAGUCAGAAGAAGAAUAUGUAAUCCUUCCUCCGUCAGCCGAGUAUGGCACCACGAGUUAUGAGGAGAAGGAGGGCUUGGUAGACAAGAUCAAGGACAAACUACACAAACACCACCAUAAGAAGUCAGAAGAAGAAUAUGUGAUCCCUCCUCCGGCAGCCGAGUAUGCCGCCACCGGUUAUGAGGAGAAGGAGGGCUUGCUAGACAAAGUAAAGGACAAGUUGCACGAACACCACCACAAGAAGUCAGAAGAAUAUGUGAUCUCUCCUCCAGCAACCGAGUAUGCCUCCAGGGAUUAUGAGGAGAAUUAUGCCUCCAGGGAUUAUGAGGAGAAGGAGGGCUUGGUAGAUAAGAUCAAGGACAAGCUACAUGAACACCACCGUAAUAAGUCGGAAGAAGAAUAUGUUAUCCCUCCUCCAGAAACUGAGUAUACUGCCACGGGUUAUGAGGAGAAGGAGGGAUUGGUAGACAAGAUCAAGGACAAGCUACAUGAACACCACCGCAAGAAGUCAGAAGAAGAAUAUGUGAUCUC
rnacentral:lncRNA from 1 species